rnacentral:lncRNA from 1 species
UUUAACAUACGAAGUGGAAUAAGGGAGGGCUGGAUAGUGGAUACCCAGAGCAAUAAGCCCAAUCUGAUAAAGGAUUUGAAUUUGAACAGGAUGGGCCAAUAAAAUAGAAACCCAACAGUCAGGCCCAAUCUGAUAAGAUAUCCAAAGGUCAUCCAAACGCGUCCCACUUGAAUUCUCAUCAUUACUGACAUUAAAUGCGCCGGCCUCGCUCCACGUGUAACCGUCAGUAUAAAAGAUAAACCUCACCAAAUUUGACGGUUUUACCUACUGAUUUGAAAUUCGAACCUUUGAGUUUUCUUCCCUUUCUCAGAAAACCUCUCUUUAGCUUUCGAAAACUCAACAAUGGUGAAUCCAAGCCAAACCCCUUCAAGUUCUUCUCAUUCAAACCCUAAUCAAGAGGGUUCAAGUGCAAAUCCACCAUCUCCAACUGAUUUCUUCAAAGAUGGGGAAAAAUUUCCUCACGCUAACAUCACCUCCACUAUCUCUGAAUCUGAA